rnacentral:tRNA from 3 species
GCUGUCAUAGCUCAGACGGUAGAGCGCAGCAUUGGUAGUGCUGAGGUCAUGGGUUCGAUUCCCAUUGACAGCU